rnacentral:rRNA from 1 species
AGAGUUUGAUUCUGGCUCAGGAUGAACGCUAGCUACAGGCUUAACACAUGCAAGUCGAGGGUAGCAGGGUAGCAAUACCGCUGGACGACCGGCGCACGGGUGAGUAACACGUAUCCAACCUUCCCAUAACUCAGGGAUAGCCUUUCGAAAGAAAGAUUAAUACCUGAUAGUACUUUUUCAAGGCAUCUUGAAAAAGUUAAAGAUUUAUUGGUUAUGGAUGGGGAUGCGUUCCAUUAGAUAGUUGGUGAGGUAACGGCUCACCAAGUCUUCGAUGGAUAGGGGUUCUGAGAGGAAGGUCCCCCACAUUGGUACUGAGACACGGACCAAACUCCUACGGGAGGCAGCAGUGAGGAAUAUUGGGUCAAUGGGCGAGAGCCUGAACCAGCCAAGUAGCGUGAAAAGGAUGAAGGUCCUAUGGAUUGUAAACUUCUUUUAUAGUAGAAUAAAGUGAGCCACGUGUGGUUUUUUGUAUGUAUACUAUGAAUAAGGAUCGGCUAACUCCGUGCCAGCCGCCGC